CUAGUUCAUCUAGUUCUAGUUCUAGUUGAUCCUAAUUUAUCUAAUUAGAGCUAGACCUAGUUCCUCUAAUUCUCAUAAUUAGAAGCAAAGUGUGGUUCUAAUAUCCUCCCUCUAAUGCUCUGGCGAUGAUUAGCUCCGAACGGCGAAGCGCUGCCGAAUCAGGAAGACCGUAAGCUUGCAACCAAGUAAAGAGGCCAUGCUUUCGAUCUUUCAUUUGAGGGUGCUUCGCAGGAUCGUCAUCAACAAUUCGAGGGACUCCAAGUAUGAUCUACAUUGACUCGUCUACUUCCGCUGCACUCUGAAGUCGGUGACUAUCAUGAUCCAAACCGUUUAUAUUUCUUCAUAUUGUUUCUGGGUGUUCUUAGGGUGAUUUUUUUGUUUUCUACUGUUUCCCAAUAGUUUCACCUUUGUAGGGAGAGCGUGGCCCCUGAGAGCUCAUCCUCUGCCACGUGGUAGUCAGAGGCGAAUAAAUCUGGACCAUGGGGCAACCCCCAGGUGAUCCCUGAGGAGAUCGCCCAACUUAUCAGCGGCAUGGAAGCCGCCGCCAGGUCCGGGCCUGGUUGUAGCCUGGCCAUGACGGGACCUCUAGCCGAUCUCCAAGUAGCUCCGCCUUUGGGUGGAGCCGGCGGCACGCCUGCUCCAGAGGUCGCACCUCCCCACGAGAGGUUUGUGAGGCUGGUGACUGGGGCCGCCACCACCUGCCCUUCUGACCCUGCAGCCCCCGCACCGUUGGUCGCUGCUGUGGUGGGCACGAAGGGUGUUCUUGGGUAGCUAAGCGUCACGCUAGAGGGGCUCGGAGGUCUUGCUGAGGCCAGCUGCCAGAGCGACGAGAGCCUGGAGAGCCAGGUCGUUGACCUGCACAAGCAGUUGGACACGCAACACCAGGAGAACACCCAUUUGUCAUUCGAAGUUGCAGCAACAUUGAUGCUCCAACAAGACCACCGUAGCAGUGUCAUUGAUGCAAUUGAUGGUGAGCAGCAUGACAUCAGGGUUGCAACAGUGUCGUUAAAGAUGUACUCCCUCCGUCCGAAAAUACUUGUCAUUGAAAUGGAUGUAUUUAGAUGUAUUUUAGUUCUAGAUACAUCCAUUUUCAUCAAUUUUGAUGACAAGUAUUUCCGGACGGAGGGAGUAACAACUAAUGGUGGCGAUGUCAGCCGCAAGAACAUCACCCAGCGAAGCGCAUCGGUCUAAAGAAUUGGCGAGGGCUCACUGCUUUCGGUGAAGCGCGACAACAUGAAGCGCCAGCAAGGCUUGCUGUUUACAGCGGCGGUAGUGGAGGCGAAGCCUUCUAUUCUACUGGUCCCAGUGGGUUGCGUAGCGGUGGAGGUAGCAGCAAGCGCCCUACAAAACAGUAGCGAGAGCCAGAGAAAAAAAGAAAGUUUGCACGAAGACGAGAAUGAGUGGAUGAAAGCUUUGUCCAGGGGAUAAGAUUUGGUGUGUGGGGGGGAGGGGAGGGCGAUGUGUGGGCCCAUGGGACAUGUGCCCCAACGCGAGCCAGCGAACGGGCCCACAUUAUUGGCCCACUGAUGCUCCGGCCGAUUAACAUACAAUCUACUCUGCUCUAGCAGAACACAUGGCUUCUGUGGGCGACUCUCAGCUUGCCAAG